CCUACGGGAGGCAGCAGUGGGGAAUAUUGCACAAUGGGGGAAACCCUGAUGCAGCGACGCCGCGUGAGUGAAGAAGUAUUUCGGUACGUAAAGCUCUAUCAGCAGGGAAGAAAAUGACGGUACCUGACUAAGAAGCCCCGGCUAACUACGUGCCAGCAGCCGCGGUAAUACGUAGGGGGCAAGCGUUCUCCGGAUUUACUGGGUGUAAAGGGAGCGUAGACGGCAGCGCAAGUCUGGAGUGAAAUCCCAUGGCUUAACCAUGGAACUGCUUUGGAAACUGUGCAGCUAGAGUGCAGGAGAGGUAAGCGGAAUUCCUAGUGUAGCGGUGAAAUGCGUAGAUAUUAGGAGGAACACCAGUGGCGAAGGCGGCUUACUGGACUGUAACUGACGUUGAGGCUCGAAAGCGUGGGGAGCAAACAGGAUUAGAUACCCCAGUAGUC
rnacentral:rRNA from 1 species